rnacentral:rRNA from 1 species
UGCCAGCCGCCGCGGUAAUACGUACCGGACAAGCGUUAUUCGGAUUUACUGGGCUUAAAGAGUGCGUAGGCGGCCUAACAGGUGGGGUGUGAAAGCCCACGGCUCAACCGUGGAAUUGCGCUCCAAACCGCUAGGCUUGAGGGAGACAGGGGUGAGCGGAACUGAUGGUGGAGCGGUGAAAUGCGUUGAUAUCGUCAGGAACACCAGUGGCGAAGGCGGCUCACUGGCUCGAUACUGACGCUGAGGUACGAAAGUGUGGGGAGCAAACAGGAUUAGAUA